rnacentral:lncRNA from 1 species
CUCUCUCUCUCUCUCUUGUUUUCCUCCUCUCUUUCGUUUCUUUCUUUUCUCGCCUUGGCAGCCUCCUCCCUUUUCGGCUUGCAGCAGCAGCGGCUGAGCCGCCCCUGUUCUUCCCGACGUGGUCGCGGCAGUGAGCCGCCGGCCACCAUUCAGACCACCAUCCUCCCUCUAAUCGCCUCCCCACCGCCUCCAUAACACCCAGCCACCCAUCAAUCAACACCAACACAACUUCCAGCCUCCGAUUGUCUUCCCUUAGCGCCGAUUGAAACCACCACCCACAACAAGCAGAGAUACAUACAAACACAUACGCACAUAAAUGAACAGACAUACAUAACUUUUACCUUUAAUCAUGCUUCAAUUCGAUUUCUCCGAAAGAAAACUGAAACCCUAGCUCUCUUGACCCACCGCCUUUGUUUGAGUACAACACUCUGUCUGUCUAUUCUUAUCUAUACGUCUGAGUUUUUAUUUAAAAAAAGGUAGAAUCCGCGUGUGUG